AGAGUUUGAUCCUGGCUCAGAGCGAACGCUGGCGGCAGGCUUAACACAUGCAAGUCGAACGCUCGUAGCAAUACGGGAGUGGCAGACGGGUGAGUAACGCGUGGGAACAUGCCCUUUGGUUCGGAAUAACUCAGGGAAACUUGAGCUAAUACCGGAUAAGCCCCGUAAGGGGGAAAGAUUUAUCGCCGAAGGAUUGGCCCGCGUCCGAUUAGCUAGUUGGUGAGGUAAUGGCUCACCAAGGCGACGAUCGGUAGCUGGUCUGAGAGGAUGAUCAGCCACACUGGGACUGAGACACGGCCCAGACUCCUACGGGAGGCAGCAGUGGGGAAUAUUGGACAAUGGGGGCAACCCUGAUCCAACCAUGCCGCGUGAGUGAUGAAGGCCCUAGGGUUGUAAAGCUCUUUCGACGGGGACGAUAAUGACGGUACCCGUAGAAGAAGCCCCGGCUAACUUCGUG
rnacentral:rRNA from 1 species